rnacentral:rRNA from 1 species
GGGGGGGGGGGGGGGGGGGGGUGGCGGGGGGGGGUCGAGGGGGAAGCCCUUUCGGGGGCCGGCACGGGCGCAGGGGUGCGUAACGCGUGUGCCCCCUGCCUGUCACCUGGGGCUAGCCUGUAGACAUGUUGAUUAAGACCCCAUAAUCUUCUUCGAUGGCAUAAUUUGAUAAUUAAAACUGCGGUGGUGCAAUAUGGUCAUGCGUCCUCUUAGCUAGUUGGAGUGGUAACGCCACCCCAAGGCUCCGAUAGGUAGGGGUCCGGAGAGGGAGAUCCCCCACAAUGGUACUGAGACAGGGACCAGACUCCUACGGGAGGCAGCAGUGAGGAAUAUUGGUCAAUGGUCGGAAGACUGAACCAGCCAUGCCGAGUGCAGGAAGAAUGCCUUAUGGGUUGUAAACUGAUUUUAUAUGGGAAGAAUAAGGUGUACGUGUACAUUGAUGACGGUACCAUAUGAAUAAGCAUCGGCUAACUCCGUG